AACAGUUAAAAAUGGAAUCUCAAGACAACUGGAAGCUUUUAAGUCAGGAUUUAAUCAGGUAUUUCCACUAAGCACACUUCAGGUAUUCUCAGAGGAUGAGCUGGAGAGAUUACUCUGUGGAGAACAAGACAAUUGGGAUUUUUUGAAACUUGUUGAUCACAUAAAAUUUGAUCAUGGCUACACCUCCAGCAGCCA